rnacentral:rRNA from 1 species
GGUUAAGCGACUAAGCGUACACGGUGGAUGCCCUGGCAGUCAGAGGCGAUGAAGGACGUGCUAAUCUGCGAUAAGCGCCGGUAAGGUGAUAUGAACCGUUAUAACCGGCGAUUUCCGAAUGGGGAAACCCAGUGUGACUCGUCACACUAUCAUUAACUGAAUCCAUAGGUUAAUGAGGCGAACCGGGGGAACUGAAACAUCUAAGUACCCCGAGGAAAAGAAAUCAACCGAGAUUCCCCCAGUAGCGGCGAGCGAACGGGGAGGAGCCCAGAGCCUGAAUCAGCAUGUGUGUUAGUGGAAGCGUCUGGAAAGGCGCGCGAUACAGGGUGACAGCCCCGUACACAAAAGCGCAUGUGCUGUGAGCUCGAUGAGUAGGGCGGGACACGUGGUAUCCUGUCUGAAUAUGGGGGGACCAUCCUCCAAGGCUAAAUACUCCUGACUGACCGAUAGUGAACCAGUACCGUGAGGGAAAGGCGAAAAGAACCCCGGCGAGGGGAGUGAAAAAGAACCUGAAACCGUGUACGUACAAGCAGUGGGAGCCCCACCACCAAAGCAUUCUCUGGUGUUGAAGGCCCUGCAAAGCAGCAUCGCGGUGGCGGAGCGUCGUUUGCGACGCCC